UGGUCUCACCAGAUAUUUCCUUAAAAUUCUCUAUUUCUCUUUCAAUUCCUUUAUAUUACUACAAAAAUUCUCCACCUAUAAUUCUCAAUAAAAGUGAAAAUAAAAAUCUCCAACGAGACAAGAUACCCAAAAGAUCUUAGACAUACCCAUUUUAAUUCACACCAAAUUAUCCAAAAACCUCUUUCAAUUUCCAAUCCUUACCACUCUACAAACCCUAAUUUUCCUCUCCCUGUCUCCCUUAAUUUCUCUCUUCAACAAAAUCCUCCAAAAAUGCUUGAUAACUUGAAAAUCUAAAACAUACACACUUCAAUUCAUACCCAAUUAUCCAACAUCCAUCUGCAAAUUUUCAAUCUUGAUUCAUGAACCCUAAACCUUUUCCACUCUCUUUAGCUUAAAUUUCCCUCGCUUUCCUGGGGAAAUUCGACCACCAUGGCCGUUGCUGCAGUUAGAGGCAAACCCACCAAAGAAACUGCUUCUCAAUUCAGAUACUUUAUGUUCAAUUACAUGCAUGUGGGAAGUCGCUUGUCUAGUGCUCACUGUGCUAGCAAAACUACAAAAUGGGAUGACCAUUUUGCAAAUACUCCUCAUCACUUCUCUUCUUUCAAGCCUGUUUCGCUUUGCGGGGAGUUUGUUGAAAAGGGUACUCAAUUGUUGGAAAAUAUGAGAAGUAGCGGUAAUUCAAGUAAAGACUUUGAUAGGAAUUGGAAUCAGAAAGUGAGAUAUAAUGGUGGUGAUGGGUCUGGUUAUGGCGACCCACCAGAGGUGCGGGAACCACCUGGUGAUGGUGUUGCAAAAUUAAGGGUGACUGAUGGAGGAGUGAAUUUUAAGGUAGGGAGUAGAGGUGGGUCUGGUUCAAAGGAUGGGUCUUGGGGUGGAUCAAAUUUGGGGAGUAGCUUUCCAACGCCUAAGGACAUUUGUAAGGCACUUGAUAAGUUUGUCAUUGGACAACAGAGAGCUAAGAAGGUGCUCUCUGUUGCUGUUUACAAUCACUACAAGAGGAUCUAUGUACAGUCUGUUAAAAAAUGUACAACUUGGGAAGCUAGGUGCAACAUAGAUUCAGGCAAUGAAAAAGCAGAAACCAUGGAUGAGGAGGAAGUUGAACUUGAGAAAAGUAACAUUCUUCUAAUGGGUCCAACAGGUUCAGGGAAGACAUUACUUGCCAAAACCUUGGCACGGUUUGUGAAUGUUCCUUUUGUUAUUGCAGAUGCAACUACUUUGACUCAGGCAGGAUAUGUUGGGGAAGAUGUGGAGUCCAUUUUAUACAAACUACUGACAGCUGCUGACCAUAACGUGGCAGCUGCUCAGCAAGGCAUCAUUUACAUUGAUGAAGUUGACAAGAUCACAAAAAAGGCUGAGAGUGUUAACAUCAGUAGAGAUGUGUCGGGGGAGGGUGUACAGCAAGCAUUAUUGAAAAUGCUUGAAGGAACAGUAGUCAAUGUUCCAGAUAAGGAAGCUCGAAAGCAUCCUAGGGGAGACAACAUUCAGAUCGACACAAAGGAUAUUCUUUUCAUAUGUGGGGGUGCCUUCAUUGAUUUGGAGAAGACCAUAUCUGAAAGGCGCCAAGAUUCAUCGAUUGGGUUCGGUGCACCAGUACGUGCAAACAUGAGGACAGGUGGUGUUACGAGCGCUGCCUUGACAUCAUCUUUAUUGGAGACUGCUGAAAGCAGUGAUCUUGUUUCAUAUGGUUUGAUACCUGAAUUUGUUGGAAGAUUUCCUAUCCUCGUCAGUUUAUCAGCUCUCACUGAGGAUCAACUUGUCCAGGUUCUCACAGAACCAAAGAAUGCCCUCGGGAAGCAAUACAGGAAGUUGUUCCAAAUGAAUGGUUUUGAAAGCCAUCCAAUUCUCCCUCCCCCCUCAGGUCAAGCUACAUGUUACAGAUCAUGCUUUGAGAUCAAUUGCAAGAAAAGCAAUAACCAAAAAUACUGGGGCUCGGGCCUUGCGGUCCAUAUUAGAGAACAUCUUGAUGGAUUCCAUGUAUGAGAUUCCUGAUGUAAGAAGGGGGGCUGAUAUUAUAGAUACUGUUGUAGUUGAUGAAGAGGCUAUUGGACCUGAGGAAUGUGGAGCCAGAGCCAAAAUCCUGUAUGGCAGGGGCGCCUUGGAUCGCUAUCUUUCAAAAAACAAAUUAAAGUCAUCUGAGGCAACUGUGGAGGGUUCUGAUGGAGAACCAGAGGUGGAAUCAGAGCUCCCUAAGAUAGUUGCCAGCAUGUAAUUUACUGAUUAAUGUUGUUUGUAGCCUCCUUACAUCACAUACCUGUACAUAAUAAGCUCACAUUAAUUUAUUAAACCAAAGUUCUGUAUACACGUUACAAUUGCUCAAAAACUACAGUUUCCCAACCACAGAGUUCGGAUUUUUUUAUAUCACUGCUGUAUUCUACAUCAGUCAGCCAAAGACAAUCACGUUCUGCGAUCCCAUUUUUCAGCA